rnacentral:lncRNA from 1 species
CCCUGAAGUACCUCUACAUGAUACAAAAAUGCUCGCUGGGGUGUUGCCUACGGAUUGGCCCGUCCUGCUAUAGUAGGUUGUCAAGAGGUAUCUUUGCAGCUUUAGAUCUAGCGAGGCGUGGUGCGGCGCAGUACUUGAAUUUCAUGAUAGUGCCGGGCAUCUACUACUCCAGAUGAUGAGAUCUACUCCAAAAGCAACUUUUAUUGUACACGUAUGCUUUUAGUAGGCCACCGAAAGAGAGAUGCAUUUAUUAAUUUGCUCCUACAUACGCACACCACAUAUGUAC